rnacentral:rRNA from 1 species
AACGAACGCUGGCGGCAGGCCUAACACAUGCAAGUCGAGCGCGUGUAGCAAUACACGAGCGGCGCACGGGUGAGUAACGCGUGGGAAUCUGCCCUACAGUGGGGAACAACCACGGGAAACUGUGGCUAAUACCGCAUACGUCCUUCGGGAGAAAGGCUUCGGCCGCUGUAGGAGGAGCCCGCGUCCGAUUAGCUAGUUGGUGAGGUAAUGGCUCACCAAGGCGACGAUCGGUAACUGGUCUGAGAGGACGACCAGUCACACUGGGACUGAGACACGGCCCAGACUCCUACGGGAGGCAGCAGUGGGGAGUAUUGGACAAUGGGGGAAACCCUGAUCCAGCCAUGCCGCGUGAGUGAUGAAGGCCUUCGGGUUGUAAAGCUCUUUUAGCGGGGAAGAUAAUGACGGUACCCGCAGAAUAAGCCCCGGCUAACUUCGUGCCAGCAGCCGCGGUAAGACGAAGGGGGCUAGCGUUGUUCGGAAUUACUGGGCGUAAAGGGCGCGCAGGCGGCUUUGCAAGUCAGGCGUUAAAGACCCAGGCUCAACCUGGGGAAUGCGCUUGAUACUGCAGAGCUUGAGAUCGGAAGAGGAGAGUGGAAUUCCCAGUGUAGAGG